GGGGACGUGGCUCAAUCGCCAGAGCGCCUGCCUUGCAAGCAGGAGGGUGUCGGUUGGACUCCGACCGUCUCCACCA
rnacentral:tRNA from 1 species